GACCUUCCAAACAAGACAUAUCAGAGGAGAUAAAUGACACUGAUCAGCUCCACUGGUCAGAGAUAAAAAAAGCUUAUGAUAGUAAACAAGGACAUGGCAUGGUGGAAACAGCUGGAGGAGGCAGAGCCAAUGAAUGCUAAUCUUUCAAGAUGUGGAAAUAGCAGAUGUCCUCAAUAAGACAUGUAACAGCAGAUGUACCCAACUGGACACUGAUUGAUAGAAACAACUGGAUGAUGCGUAGCCAGUACAUGCUGAUCUACCAAGAUGUGGAAACAGCUAAUGCACCCAACAAUACAUUGUGAAAACAGUAGAUGAACCCAAAAGAACCUGAUAGAAACAACUGGAGGAUGAAUAGCCAAAGGAUGCUGAUCUGACAUUUAUCAGCUGCAGCCAACAUGUAGAACUUUGUGGAAACACCGGAAUAGACAUGCAAGCUUGUUGAACCUCUUUUAAGAUGGGAAAACAGCAAAUAUAUAUACCUCCAAAAGGACUUACUGAAAUAAAUCUUGAGGAGGCAAGGCCAUUAUGAAU